CUGUUCCCGGCACCACUCCUCCUCCUGCAGGCACCGCUCCAGCUCCGACUCCAGGGAGCUGCGGGAAAGUCCCAGAAUUGAGUAAUUGAGUCCAUUUCUGGAAUUCCCUUUUCUUCCAGUUACAAGGCCGCGGGUAGUUGUUCUUUGCUGAUAUCCACAGCUUCUCAUAUAUCUGCGUGAUGUUUUCCUCCAGCAAAACCGCCCUUAAGGUGUCAUCAGAACAUUGUGCCAGCCUAUGCAACCUUCUGGCUUGUACACUCGGGAUCAAGGCUUGUAAUUUCGUAAUUCCUAACCCACCAUCCUUUGUGCUGGAAUAUAGAAUGGCAUCGCAAGUGCUGGCUGGUAGAUGUAACCAUUUCUUAACCGUCGCCCUAAUCUUUAAAUCUAGUACUUUCAAAAAUCCAGCUUUUAUCUCUGUAUGAUCUACUAAGUAUAUUAUUCGAGGGAUCACAUAUGUUCUCAACAUAUCCACUUUUUGUAAUGGUUUGAGUGGUGCUUCACUAAUGCGGCAUAACCAUGUUUCUAUUUUUGAUGACAAAUCUGGUUUAGCUAUUUGUACCCAAGGAUCGAUUUGAAUGCCAAGAUAUUUCUCAGAGCUACCCGGAUUGACCAUAUUGAGGGGUGUACCACCUAUAGUCCACGGAGGACAAUCAUUAAUUGUAUAUGCCUCUCUAGCAGGCUUUAUGAGAAAACCAUGACAUUUUUCCCCUUGCGUCUUGAGACCGGUUAAAUCGCAAAAUGUCUCAAGAAUCUCGAUGUUCUUUUUCAUGCCUUCCCAGGAUCCACUAAGUAAGACCAAAUCAUCAGCAAAAGCCAUUGCAGUAAUCGAUUUAUUUCUGAAUUGGAACCCUUCUCCAUACUGUUCUAAUUCACACAAUAAAGGAUCCAUAGCCAGAUUAAAUAGCAAUGGAGACAUAGGGUCCCCUUGUUUAACACCCACUUUAAUUUGAAUUGGAUCUGAUUGUUUAUUAUUAAUGCCAAUUCGGGUGUAGAUAUUUUCAUACAUGUUUGCAAUCAAAUUAAUUAUAUGGACAUCUACCCCUUUUUGCUUUAGGCCUGUGAUAAUGUGUUGGUGACUUAUUGUAUCGAAAGCUUUCGCGAUAUCAACAAAUACCACUCCCAGUUCAUUGUGUUCUCUUUUUGCAUUCUUCAUAAGAAGUUGUAAUAAUUUUAAAUCUUCAGAGCAUCCCGGCGAUUUUAUGAAACCCCUUUGUCUAGGGUUUAUGGGGCAUGCCUUUGUUAGCCUAGCCGUCAGUAUCCUUGACAAUAACCUUAAGAUUACAGACCCGAUCGUAAUGGGUCUCCCAUUAUUGAUGUCAUUGAGACGGUCUGGCUUAGUUGACUCCGGCAAUAAUACAGUUUGGCAUUCCCUUAUCAUGUCUGGUAUUCUUCCAGAUGUUAACCAUAAAUUAAAAAUUUCUGUUAUUUGUGUA